rnacentral:lncRNA from 1 species
UUGGAUUUGAUUUUGUGUUUAAGUUUUUUUUAGGUUAUGUGUUGCUUCUGAUGGCAGUACUGACAGCAUCUACUGAUGGAUGCUGAUGAAGAAGAGAAAGAAUAACAUCUACUAAAGGAUGUUGAUGAGAAUGGAUACUGCUAUGAAAGAGGAUGAUGACUAGACAUCUACUGAUGCAUGUUAGGUGAUUAGGCAUCUACUGAUGGAUGCCAAUGAAGAUGAGAA